GCAGUGCGUGGCCGAAUGGUUACGCUGUCCGCUUUGUAAGCGGAUGAUUUUGGGUUCGAUUCCCAUCUGCUCCA
rnacentral:tRNA from 1 species